AUUUUGACUGCAAAGCUUCGUGUGUUUCUUUAUUACCAAACCACUUCACCGUGAGAUAAAAGUAGAUUAAAAUACCACCACAAACAUUAUUCAAAAAUCACAUUUUUUAUUUUCUUACAAGAAUUCAGUUAAUAAAACAUCUAAUCCCAAAGUGAUUGGAAAGCAACACUUCACAAAACAAGACCAAAGUACACACCUUACAAAUUAUCUAAGCAAUACCAGUAAUAAACAAGGUUAUCAUUUUGUGCAAAAUUAUAUUAAAUUUGGCUCCAUGCUCCCGAGUGGUGUGACGUGGUUUAAAGUGACUGCGCUGCAUGCCAAUAAGAAGUCAGUAGUGGUUUCUAAGAUAGCUGCGCCGCCUUGUGGUACAUCGUGGUAUUACAUGAAUGCUGCGCCACCCUGUGGUACAUCGUAGUAUUACAUCUAACCUACCAGUGGGCAUUUCUCCAUUCCACUCAGUCAGUCAGUAAUCUCACAUUCCUUCUGUAUAAGUGGAUACUCACACAGUACACAAUACAAAUCGACGUAUGAAAAUAGUGUGCGACCAGUGUCAUCUACCUAUGAAAACAAUCCUACCAUUUAAAAAGAAGUGUGUUAUAUCAAAAACAUAGGAUACCAUAGUGCAUCAGAUUGUACAAGAUUUGCAUCCAUCAUUGUGUUCGUCCAGAACUCUCUGCCAGAAGCAAAGGAAUUACCCCACAGUAUACAGCACAGUGAAAAACACAUGUUUAAAGUCAGUCAGACAUUUAGAUUGGAGUUGGUGAUUAGAAACAAGCAGUCCACAGACGUCAUCAUAUGGCUAUAGAUGGUUAAACAUGCAGAAGAGAAAGGCAAGUCUUAUUGUACCUAACACACUGUGCAGUUGUUCCUCUUUAAAAGGUCUCAGUCAGUUGUUCCUCUUUAAAAGGUCUCAGUCAGUUGUUCCUCUUUAAAAGGUCUCAGUCAGUUGUUCCUCUUUAAAAGGUCUCAGUCAGUUGCUCCUCUUUAAAAGGUCUCAGUCAGUUGUUCCUCUUUAAAAGGUCUCAGUCAGUUGUUCCUCUUUAAAAGGUCUCAGUCAGUUGCUCCUCUUUAAAAGGUCUCAGUCAGUUGUUCCUCUUUAAAAGGUCUCAGUCAGUUGCUCCUCUUUAAAAGGUCUCAGUCAGUUGUUCCUCUUUAAAAGGUCUCAGUCAGUUGUUCCUCUUUAAAAGGUCUCAGUCAGUUGUUCCUCUUUAAAAGGUCUCAGUCAGUUGUUCCUCUUUAAAAGGUCUCAGUCAGUUGUUCCUCUUUAAAGAUCUCGGUCAGUUGCUCCUCUUUAAAAGGUCUCAGUCAGUUGCUCCUCUUUAAAAGGUCUCAGUCAGCUGUUCCUCUUUAAAAGGUCUCAGUCAGUUGUUCCUCUUUAAAAGGUCUCAGUCAGUUGUUCCUCUUUAAAAGGUCUCAGUCAGUUGUUCCUCUUUAAAAGGUCUCAGUCAGUUGUUCCUCUUUAAAAGGUCUCAGUCAGUUGUUCCUCUUUAAAAGGUCUCAGUCAGUUGCUCCUCUUUAAAAGGUCUCAGUCAGUUGUUCCUCUUUAAAAGGUCUCAGUCAGUUGCUCCUCUUUAAAAGGUCUCAGUCAGUUGUUCCUCUUUAAAAGGUCUCAGUCAGUUGCUCCUCUUUAAAGAUCUCGGUCAGUUGCUCCUCUUUAAAGGUCUCAGUCAGUUGCUCCUCUUUAAAAGGUCUCAGUCAGUUGUUCCUCUUUAAAAGGUCUCAGUCAGUUGCUCCUCUUUAAAAGGUCUCAGUCAGUACACUUAUCAGUGGUGGCUGGUGCCACCUUGAAUCUGAGGAGGGACUCAUAGUAAUGGCUGGAAUGAAUAGACAGGCAUCAAACACAUCUAGACUUGGUUUCUUCCCAGUGUUUGACUCCGUUCCAUCUAUUCCAUUCCAGCCAUUAUUAUGAGCCGUCCUCCCUUGACCAGCCUCCAAUGACUCUCUUGUACAUAGGGAGGCUAUCACUUUGUGUUUGCUGUUUGCUUAAAGGGAUAGUUCAUCCAAAUUACACUAUAACCUUUAAAUUCAGAGGGUUCCUGAGUUGUUGGAAUAGAGAUAUUGCUGCUUAAGGUUCUUUAUUCCUUAGCCCUCUGAUAUCUCUCUACUGUUCUAGAGCCCUCUGAUAGCUCUCUACUGUUCUAGAGCCCUCUGAUAUCCCGCUACUGUUCUAGAGUCCUCUGAUAUCUCGCUACAGUUCUAGAGCCCUCUGAUAUCUCGCUACUGUUCUAGAGCCCUCUGAUAUCUCGCUACUGUUCUAGAGCCCUCUGAUAUCUCGCUGCUGUUCUAGAGCCCUCUGAUAUCUCUCUACUGUUCUAGAGCCCUCUACUGUUCUAGAGCCCUCUGAUAUCUCACUACUGUUCUAGAGCCCUCUGAUAUCCCUCUACUGUUCUAGAGCCCUCUGAUAUCUCGCUACUGUUCUAGAGCCCUCUGAUAUCCCUCUACUGUUCUAGAGCCCUCUGAUAUCUCGCUACUGUUCUAGAGCCCUCUGAUAUCCCUCUACUGUUCUAGAGCCCUCUGAUAUCUCUCUACUGUUCUAGAGCCCUCUGAUAUCCCUCUACUGUUCUAGAGCCCUCUGAUAUCCCUCUACUGUUCUAGAGCCCUCUGAUAUCUCUCUACUGUUGUAGAGCCCUCUGAUAUCUCUCUACUGUUCUAGAGCCUUCUGAUAUCUUGCUACUGUUGUAGAGCCCUCUGAUAUCUCUCUACUGUUCUAGAGCCCUCUGAUAUCUCUCUACUGUUCUAGAGCCUUCUGAUAUCUCGCUACUGUUCUAGAGCCCCCUGAUGUCUCUCUACUGUUCUAGAGCCCUCUGAUAUCUCUCUACUGUUCUAGUGCCCUCUGAUGUCUCUCUACUGUUCUAGAGCCCUCUGAUAUCUCUCUACUGUUCUAGAGCCCUCUGAUAUCCUCUCUACUGUUCUAGAGCCCUCUGAUAUCCCUCUACUGUUCUAGAGCCCUCUGAUAUCUCUCUACUGUUGUAGAGCCCUCUGAUAUCUCUCUACUGUUCUAGAGCCUUCUGAUAUCUUGCUACUGUUGUAGAGCCCUCUGAUAUCCCUCUACUGUUCUAGAGCCCUCUGAUAUCUCUCUACUGUUGUAGAGCCCUCUGAUAUCGCUCUACUGUUCUAGAGCCUUCUGAUAUCUCGCUACUGUUCUAGAGCCCUCUGAUGUCUCUCUACUGUUCUAGUGCCCUCUGAUGUCUCUCUACUGUUCUAGAGCCCUCUGAUAUCUCUCUACUGUUCUAGAGCCCUCUGAUAUCUAUACUGUUCUAGAGCCAUCUGAUGUCCCUCUACUGUUAUAGAGCCCUCUGAUAUCUCUCUACUGUUGUAGAGCCCUCUGAUAUCUCUCUACUGUUGUAGAGCCCUCUGAUAUCUCUCUACUGUUCUAGAGCCCUCUGAUAUCUCUCUACUGUUCUAGAGCCUUCUGAUAUCUCUCUACUGUUCUAGAGCCCUCUGAUAUCUCUCUACUGUUCUAGAGCCCUCUGAUAUCUAUACUGUUCUAGAGCCAUCUGAUGUCCCUCUACUGUUCUAGAGCCCUCUGAUAUCUCUCUACUGUUGUAGAGCCCUCUGAUAUCUCUCUACUGUUCUAGAGCCCUCUGAUAUCCCUCUACUGUUCUAGAGCCAUCUGAUGUCUCUCUACUGUUCUAGAGCCCUCUGAUAUCUCUCUACUGUUCUAGAGCCCUCUGAUAUCCCUCUACUGUUCUAGAGCCAUCUGAUGUCCCUCUACUGUUCUAGAGCCCUCUGAUAUCUCUCUACUGUUCUAGAGCCCUCUGAUAUCUAUACUGUUCUAGAGCCAUCUGAUGUCCCUCUACUGUUCUAGAGCCCUCUGAUAUCUCUCUACUGUUCUAGAGCCCUCUGAUAUCUCUCUACUGUUCUAGAGCCCUCUGAUAUCUCUCUACUG
ensembl:lncRNA